rnacentral:rRNA from 1 species
GAUGAACGCUAGCGGGAGGCUUAACACAUGCAAGUCGAGGGGCAGCACGAGGUAGCAAUACUUUGGUGGCGACCGGCGCACGGGUGAGUAACGCGUAUGUAACCUACCUUGUACAGGGGGAUAACCCGGAGAAAUUCGGACUAAUACCCCAUAAUGAUAUUGAGAGGCAUCUUUUGAUAUUUAAAGUUUCGACGGUACAAGAUGGGCAUGCGUAACAUUAGCUAGUUGGUAGGGUAACGGCCUACCAAGGCUACGAUGUUUAGGGGUCCUGAGAGGGUGAUCCCCCACAUUGGUACUGAGACACGGACCAAACUCCUACGGGAGGCAGCAGUGAGGAAUAUUGGUCAAUGGGCGUAAGCCUGAACCAGCCAUCCCGCGUGCAGGAAGACGGCGCUAUGCGUUGUAAACUGCUUUUCCAGGGAAGAAACCUUCGACGUGUCGAAGCUUGCCGGUACCUUGGGAAUAAGCAUCGGCUAACUCCGUG